GGGUUCGAGUGGUACACACAAGGUAAGAAAGAGGUCUAAGAGAGCCAAAGAUGCAGGAACAUCUGGAGCAGGAGACGAGGAGUAGGAGCUAUGUUUUUUUUUCGGUUAAUUUUGAACUUAGUUUUGAACUUAGUUUUUUAUUUUAUUUUUUUUCUUAAUUACGAGUUCCUAUAUCUUUUACAUGGUUUCUUCGUUUUAUUUGGUUGUGUUUUGAGUAGUUUUUAAUUCGUAUUCAGCUUUGCCUUGCUAGAUAAACCAAAUAACUAAUAUCCGAG
rnacentral:lncRNA from 1 species